rnacentral:rRNA from 1 species
AGCGAACGCUGGCGGCAGGCUUAACACAUGCAAGUCGAGCGGGCACUUUCGGGUGUCAGCGGCGGACGGGUGAGUAACGCGUGGGAACGUGCCCUCUGGUUCGGAAUAACUCAGGGAAACUUGAGCUAAUACCGGAUACGCCCUUUUGGGGAAAGGCUUGCUGCCGGAGGAUCGGCCCGCGUCUGAUUAGCUAGUUGGUGAGGUAACGGCUCACCAAGGCGACGAUCAGUAGCUGGUCUGAGAGGAUGAUUAGCCACACUGGGACUGAGACACGGCCCAGACUCCUACGGGAGGCAGCAGUGGGGAAUAUUGGACAAUGGGCGCAAGCCUGAUCCAGCCAUGCCGCGUGAGUGAUCAAGGCCUUAGGGUUGUAAAGCUCUUUUAUCCGGGACGAUAAUGACGGUACCGGAGGAAUAAGCCCCGGCUAACUUCGUG